GGGCUUGUAGCUCAGUUGGUUAGAGCGCACCCCUGAUAAGGGUGAGGUCGGUGGUUCGAAUCCACUCAAGCCCA
rnacentral:tRNA from 2 species